rnacentral:rRNA from 1 species
GACGUAGGGUGCGAGCGUUGUCCGGAUUUAUUGGGCGUAAAGAGCUCGUAGGCGGCUCGUCGCGUCGACCGUGAAAACCCGCAGCUUAACUGUGGGCUUGCGGUUGAUACGGGCGGGCUAGAGUUCGGUAGGGGAGACUGGAAUUCCUGGUGUAGCGGUGAAAUGCGCAGAUAUCGGGAGGAACACCAGUGGCGAAGGCGAUCACCUGGGGUUGUUCUGACGCUGAGGAGCGAAAGCUAGGGGAGCAAACGGG